AUUGAACGCUGGCGGCAGGCCUAACACAUGCAAUUCGAACGAGUGGCGGACGGGUGAGUAAUGUCUGGGAAACUGCCUGAUGGAGGGGGAUAACUACUGGCACCGGUAGCUAAUACCGCAUACCAUCAUAUGUGCCCAGAUGGUAUUAGCUAUUUGGGGGGGUAACGGCUCACCAGGGCGACGAUCCCUAGCUGGUCUGAGAGGAUGACCAGCCACACUGGAACUGAGACACGGUCCAGAAUCCUACGGUAGCAAGCAGUGGGGAAUAUUGAACAAUGGGCGCAAGCCUGAUGCAGCCAUGCCGAGUGUUUGAAGAAGGCCUUCGGGUUGUAAAGUACUUUCAGCGGGGAGGCGUUACCCGCAGAAGAAGCACCGGCUAACUCCGUGCCAGCAGCAGCGGUAAUAC
rnacentral:rRNA from 1 species